AAGAUUAAUACCUGAUGGUAUGAUGAGAUUGCAUGAUAGCAUCAUUAAAGAUUUAUCGGUGUACGAUGGGGAUGCGUUCCAUUAGGUAGUAGGCGGGGUAACGGCCCACCUAGCCAACGAUGGAUAGGGGUUCUGAGAGGAAGGUCCCCCACAUUGGAACUGAGACACGGUCCAAACUCCUACGGGAAGCAGCAGUGAGGAAUAUUGGUCAAUGGACGAGAGUCUGAACCAGCCAAGUAGCGUGAAGGAUGAAGGUCCUACGGAUUGUAAACUUCUUUUAUAAGGGAAUAAACCCUCCCACGUGUGGGAGCUUGUAUGUACCUUAUGAAUAAGCAUCGGCUAACUCCGUGCCAGCAGCCGCGGUAAUACGGAGGAUGCGAGCGUUAUCCGGAUUUAUUGGGUUUAGAGGGAGCGCAGACGGGUCGUUAAGUCAGCUGUGAAAGUUUGGGGCUCAACCUUAAAAUUGCAGUUGAUACUGGCGUCCUUGAGUGCGGUUGAGGUGUGCGGAAUUCGUGGUGUAGCGGUGAAAUGCUUAGAUAUCACGAAGAACUCCGAUUGCGAAGGCAGCACACUAAUCAGUAAUU
rnacentral:rRNA from 1 species